rnacentral:lncRNA from 1 species
GAUGGUCAGUGACAAGCCUGUGUGCAAAGCCUGCUACAUGAAGAACCAUGCUGUGGUGUGUCAAGGAUGCCACAGUGUCAUCGACCCGGAAGUGCAGAGAGUAACAUACAACAACUUGAGCUGGCAUGCAUCCACCCAGUGCUUCCUAUGCUCUUGCUGCAGAAAGUGUCUUUUUGGGGAGACAUUCUUGACUGUAAAGGGAAUGACUUUCUGUUCCAUAGAGUGUAAGAAUAUGAUGUGCUAAGAGCAGAACAAGAGCACCAAGCAGUAUGGAGUUAUAGCGGUCUACAGUGGCCUGCGUUUCAUGAUAAAGUGCAAUUAGAAAAAAAUAAAAGAAAAAAAGCUACAUAGUGAACAAAAA